rnacentral:lncRNA from 1 species
UCCCCACAUUCCCAAUGGUAAUUCCCCACAUUCCCAGUGGUAAUUCCCACAUUUCUGUGGUAAUUCCCACAUUUCUCCAUGGUAAUUCCCACAUUCCCCAUGGUAAUUCCCACAUUUCUCCAUGGUAAUUCCCACAUUCCCCAAUGGUAAUUCCCACAUUCCCCAUGGACAUUCCCACCUUUACCAUGGUAAUUCCCACAUUCCCAGUGGUAAUUCCCACAUUCCCCAGUGGUAAUUCCCACAAUCCCCACCGUAAUUCCCACCAGGAUCCCACUUCCACCUCCCCCAUGUGAUCCAUGGAAUUCCAGCAGCAUCCAGGAUCUGAUCCCUAUUUUUCUUUUCUUUUCCAGACCCACAAGAACCGCAAGCGGAGGAUUGCCUGCACGGCCGAGGAGCCGGAGGCUGUUCCCUCGGGAUUGCUCCUGGAUGUGGCCAAAUACCUGGGAUCGCUGCAGUACAACGUGUGGAAGAAGAUGUUGGACACCAUCUCCGCCGGUGAGGAGCCGGGAAUGUCGGGAAUGGGGUUUUCCAAGGGGUGGAAAAAUGGGAAAUGCAUUCCCAAUGGAGACAGGUUUUUCCUUAAAAUGGUGGUGGUGGGGUUUGGAAAGAUGGGAAAUGUGGAAGUGGAUUCUUCCCUAAAAGUGGUGGUGGGUCUGGAAAGAUGGGAAAUGUGGAAGUGGAUUCAUCCCUAAAAAUGGUGAUGGGUCUGGAAAGAUGGGAAAUGUGGAGAUGGGAUUGGGGAUUGGGGAAGUGAAGGGACGGGUUUGUUCCUCAGAAAGGGAAACUUGGGAAUGUGC